UUAGCCAUGCAAGUCACCUGGAUUUAUGUCUGGGGGCGAACUGCUCAGUAACAUGUAGAUAAUCUACCCUAAGAUUAAGGAUAACCUCGGGAAACUGAGGCUAAUACUUGAUAGGCGUAGGAGGUUGGAAUACACCUUCGCUGAAACGCAAGGUCUUAGGAUGAGUCUGCACCUGAUUAGGCAUGUUGUUGAGGUAAUUACUCAACAAACCAACGAUCAGUAAGGGCUCUUAACGGAGAGGCCCUGAGAAGGAAUCUGAGACACUAUUCCUAGCUCUAUGGAAUGCAGCAGGCGGGAGAAUUUUCCAAUGUCCGAAAGGAUGAGAAAGGGAUCCAAAGUGUUUCUCUUAGAGAAACUUUUUGCUUACUAUAAAAAGGUAGGAGAAUAAGGACUGGGCAAGACUGGUGCCAGCCGCCGCGGUAAUCCCAGCAGUCCAAAUCGCAACCGCAUUUAUUAGGUCUAAAACAUUCGUAGCUUGUUGUGUAAGUUCUCUGUGAAAUCGUUGCGCUUAACGUAACGGCGUGCAGGGGAUACUGCAUAACUAGAGAUCGGGAGACGUAACGAGUACAGUCGAGGUAGCGGUAAAAUGUUUUAAUCUCAACUGGACUAACAAUGGCGAAGGCACGUUACGAGAACGAUUCUGACGGUGAGGAAUGAAGGCCAGGGGCGCAAAAUGGAUUAGAUACCCAUGUAGUCCUGGCUGUAAACACUGCUUACUAAACAUUGUGUUCUCUUAGGGAGGAUGCAGUGCUGAAGAGAAGUCGUAGAGUAAGCUACCUGGGGAGUAUAGCCGCAAGGCCGAAACUUAAAGAAAUUGGCGGGGGGACACACAAGGAGUGACGCGUGCGGUUCAAUUAGAUUCUACACCGUGAACCUCACCAGGAGCGACAGCAGGAUGAAGGUCAGUCUGAAGGGCUUACCCGACACGCUGAGAGGAGAUGCAUGGCCAACGUAAGCUUGUGCCGUGAGGUGCCCUGUUAAAUCAGGUAACAAGCGAGACCUGCAUGUAUACUUGCUACUUGGAGAAAGAGCACAUUAUACAGACUGCCUACGUAAGUAGGAGGAAGGCGCAGUCAACGUUAGGUGAGUACGUCCCGAAUCCCCUGGGCUACACGCGCGCGGCAAUUCUACAUGCAAUGAGACGCAACUCCGAAAGGAGAAGCAAAUCCCUUAAAAUGUAGCUUAGUUUAGAUUGAAGUCUGUAACUCGAUUUCAUGACACUGGAAUUCCUAGUAAUCGGAUGUUAGCAGCGUCCGGUGAAUAAGUCCCUGUUCCUUGCACACACUGCCCAUCAAGCCAACCGAAUUAUGUUUAGAUGAAGUCCGUUAGGAAAGAAUCUAAAUAUGAUAAGGUAGGUUAAGUUGACACAAGGUA
rnacentral:rRNA from 1 species